UACGUAGGGCGCAAGCGUUGUCCGGAAUUACUGGGCGUAAAGAGUGUGUAGGCGGUGCUCUAAGUUCGUUGUGAAAUCUCCCGGCUUAACUGGGAGGGUGCGGCGGAAACUGGAGUGCUUGAGCGCGGGAGAGGAAAGCGGAAUUCCUGGUGUAGCGGUGAAAUGCGUAGAUAUCAGGAGGAACACCUGUGGUGUAGACGGCUUUCUGGACCGUAGCUGACGCUGAGACACGAAAGCGUGGGUAGCAAACAGG
rnacentral:rRNA from 1 species